AACUUUCGACAACGGAUCUCUUGGCUCUCGCAUCGAUGAAGAACGCAGCGAAAUGCGAUAAGUAAUGUGAAUUGCAGAAUUCAGUGAAUCAUCGAAUCUUUGAACGCACCUUGCGCCCCUCGGCAUUCGUUGGGGCACGCCCGUUCGAGUGUCACGAC
rnacentral:rRNA from 1 species